rnacentral:rRNA from 1 species
UGGGGAAUUUUCCGCAAUGGGCGAAAGCCUGACGGAGCAAUACCGCGUGGGGGAUGACGGCCUAUGGGUUGUAAACCUCUUUUUUCAGGGAGGAAUCAAUGACGUGUACCUGAAGAAUAAGCAUCGACUAACUCCGUGCCAGCAGCCGCGGUAAGACGGAGGAUGCAAGUGUUAUCCGGAAUCACUGGGCGUAAAGCGUCUGUAGGUUGUUCAAUAAGUCAACUGUUAAAUCUUGAGGCUCAACUUCAAAAAUCGCAGUCGAAACUAUUAAACUAGAGUAUAGUAGGGGUAAAGGGAAUUUCCAGUGGAGCGGUGAAAUGCGUAGAGAUUGGAAAGAACACCAAUGGCGAAAGCACUUUACUGGGCUAUUACUGACACUGAGAGACGAAAGCUAGGGUAGCAAAUGGGGUUAGAUACCCCAGUAGUCCUAGCCGUAGACGAUGGAUACUAGAUGUUGAACAGAUCGACCUGUGCAGUAUCAAAGCUAACGCGUUAAGUAUCCCGCCG